rnacentral:rRNA from 1 species
AUUGAACGCUGGCGGCAGGCUUAACACAUGCAAGUCGAGCGGAGAGAGGUAGCUUGCUACUGAUCUUAGCGGCGGACGGGUGAGUAAUACUUAGGAAUCUGCCUAUUAGUGGGGGACAACAUUUCGAAAGGAAUGCUAAUACCGCAUACGUCCUACGGGAGAAAGCAGGGGAUCUUCGGACCUUGCGCUAAUAGAUGAGCCUAAGUCGGAUUAGCUAGUUGGUGGGGUAAAGGCCUACCAAGGCGACGAUCUGUAGCGGGGCUGAGAGGAUGAUCCGCCACACUGGGACUGAGCCACGGCCCAGACUCCUACGGGAGGCAGCGGUGGGGAAUAUUGGACAAUGGGCGGAAGCCUGAUCCAGCCAUGCCGCGUGUGUGAAGAAGGCCUUAUGGUUGUAAAGCACUUUAAGCGAGGAGGAGGCUACUUUAGUUAAUACCUAGAGAUAGUGGACGUUACUCGCAGAAUAAGCACCGGCUAACUCUGUGCCAGCCGCCGCAGUAAAAC